rnacentral:tRNA from 1 species
UAUGACGUGCCUGAGAUAAAGGAUUAUUAUGAUAGAAUAAAUUAUGUAGAAAGAAAAUCUACCUUCAUUG